GCCAGUGUAGUUCAAUGGUGAGAACGGGGGACUCAUAAGCCCUAGAUGGAGGUUCGAUUCCUCCCACUGGCA
rnacentral:tRNA from 1 species